AGUGAACGCUGGCGGUAGGCCUAACACAUGCAAGUCGAACGGCAGCACAGUAAGAGCUUGCUCUUACGGGUGGCGAGUGGCGGACGGGUGAGGAAUACAUCGGAAUCUACUUUUUCGUGGGGGAUAACGUAGGGAAACUUACGCUAAUACCGCAUACGACCUACGGGUGAAAGCAGGGGAUCUUCGGACCUUGCGCGAUUGAAUGAGCCGAUGUCGGAUUAGCUAGUUGGCGGGGUAAAGGCCCACCAAGGCGACGAUCCCUAGCUGGUCUGAGAGGAUGAGCAGCCACAUUGGAACUGAGCCACGGUCCAGACUCCUACGGGAGGCAGCAGUGGGGAAUAUUGGACAAUGGGCGCAAGCCUGAUCCAGCCAUACCGCGUGAGUGAAGAAGGCCUUCGGGUUGUAAAGCCCUUUUGUUGGGAAAGAAAAGCAGCAGGUUAAUACCCCGCUGUUCUGACGGUACCCAAAGAAUAGGCACCGGCUAACUUCGUG
rnacentral:rRNA from 1 species